AGUGAACGCUGGCGGUAGGCCUAACACAUGCAAGUCGAACGGCAGCACAGUAAGAGCUUGCUCUUACGGGUGGCGAGUGGCGGACGGGUGAGGAAUACAUCGGAAUCUACUUUUUCGUGGGGGAUAACGUAGGGAAACUUACGCUAAUACCGCAUACGACCUACGGGUGAAAGCAGUGGAUCUUCGGACCUUGCGCGAUUGAAUGAGCCGAUGUCGGAUUAGCUGGUUGGCGGGGUAAAGGCCCACCAAGGCGACGAUCCGUAGCUGGUCUGAGAGGAUGAUCAGCCACACUGGAACUGAGACACGGUCCAGACUCCUACGGGAGGCAGCAGUGGGGAAUAUUGGACAAUGGGCGCAAGCCUGAUCCAGCCAGACCGCGUGGGUGAAGAAGGCCUUCGGGUUGUAAAGCCCUUUUGUUGGGAAAGAAAAGCAGCAGGUUAAUACCCCGCUGUUCUGACGGUACCCAAAGAAUAAGCACCGGCUAACUUCGUG
rnacentral:rRNA from 1 species